ACGCUGGGUGACCCAUGUGACCUGCUGCUUAGCAAUUCCUUGUCACCAUCUUCCCUUCUCAGCCUCUUUUUUCAUGCUAACAGGCAUAAAUGAAAUGAUAAAAGUUUGAGCUCUUCUCGUGGAAUUCUCGUGAUACAGAUAUGUGCUACAUGUUCAUCAUCUCGUUGGUCUUCACCAUGAUAACUGUGGAGUAAGAAUUAUAAGCAGGUCACAGAUUAGGGACUUGAGAUUGACAGUUUGGCUUCCCUGUUCUGGGUGGCAAAGCCUGUGGAGUACUCACCUACCUGCUGCAUGAAGGCAGCAUGGAGGGACUGUGGUGGAUUAUCUGCAAAGAUGGCCAAAAUUCUCUCAUCCCUGCAGGCACAUACAAGGUUUCCAGAAGUUCCCCAGUCAUUGAGCAUUUCUGAGGCUCUUGAUGCAUAUGCCAAGUAGUUAUGGAGAAAGACACAGCAGCUUACCUCUGCAGGCAUCAUUGUGUGAAAGGAAGACCCAGGCUCUCUCACCACCCUUGAACAGAAGCCUUUUGCUAAGGUGAUAGCUACAUGUCCAAGCCUAUUGCGUGGCAUGCAUUUUGCCUUCUGCAGCCCACUAAAGGAAAUUGAAGUAUACAGAAUGCUUAUUUGGUCUACUCAGUAUCAUCCUAAAUGUAUGUACCAAUGCUUAGGAGUUUGCAGUUCACCCGCAAACCUCAGCGAUCCAAGCUCCCCUGGAUGACCAUCACUCACCAAGAAAAGAGCAAUAACAGGACCUGUUUUGCUAAUCCAGGACUGUUCUCCAGCACUAACUCUAAAUAAUCCCUUCUGCUAGAGUCCACUUUCUGGAACCUGUUGCCUCCGUUUUCAACGUUUCCCAAACUUGGUCCGUUGUGUGAGCUGGCUGAUAAAAGUUCCAGGGAGAAGACAUCUUACUCUUAUUGGAUCAUGCACAGUGCCUGAAGCAUUCUGUUGCAUGUAGAAGUCAGUAAAUUGCAGAUGUAAGAUUCAAAACCAGACUUCACAUCUACCGACUUCAGUGACCCUGAAAUUUGUUCACAGAGAGCAUUUAACAUAACUGUCUUCAUCAUCUCCUUCUCUACAUUAAAAAUUAUGGUUCACAAAGACGUUAUUGGUGAUUCAAUCUUGAGUCAUGAAAAGUCAACCUUGAGCCACAAAAAGUCAACCUUGAGCCAAGCAGAUUGGAGAGUCAUACAUGCCAUUCCUGGGACCAUCAAAAAUGGCAGAGGUCACACAAAAAGGCAAAACUUUUAAGAGGUGUUUUAAACGUCGUAUGGGCCAAAGAGAAGCUGGAUUUCCUAUUGGAGUCACCUGUAACACACGUGUGACGAAAUUGGCCUGUGAGGACAAGGCAGUGAGCAGAGAGGACAGCAGUCCUUAUGAGAUCAAGCUCUAAGAAAAGUUGCUAAAACUGCUGUGAGAUUCUGGCUAAGAAAGUUUCAUGAGAAGUUUUACAGAAAAAUGUGAACGGAAGACAGAACUAGAUAUAAAUUUGAAUGGUAAUCUAAAUAAAAGACAUUUUUCAUU
rnacentral:lncRNA from 1 species